rnacentral:rRNA from 1 species
UGGUGGAGUGAUUUGUCUGGUUAAUUCCGUUAACGAACGAGACCUUAGCCUACUAACUAGUCGCUUCAAUCACGAUUGACUGCGACUUCUUAGAGGGACUUUGUGAUCAAACACAAGGAAGUUUGUAGGCAAUAACA